CAUCAUCAUGUUCUUUUCCCUUUCUUCUCCUUCUCUCUUUUUCUCCUCCUCCUCCUCCUCCUCCUCCUCCUCCUCCUCCUCCUCCUCCUCCUCCUCCUCCCUCUUCUAUGAAAAAUGGAAAAAGUUAAAAAAAAAGAGGAAGGGGGUUGAUGGCCACUGUGCCUUGUGUCUGAAUUUCCCAGCAAAGUCACCUUUUCCAGCACUCACAGGCUUUCUGCCUCCACUCUCAGCAAACCAUAUGUUGUCGCUGCUGCUGGCCGCAUCCUGGGGAUGGCUUUUUUCCCCUUCAGCAAGCCUCCAGAAAUGUCACCGAAAUUUAUACGCUUAUUCACAGAGGCGCUAAAGCAGAAAACCGGCUUUUCAGCUAUUUUUGUUUUGCUUUGCAGAUGGGGAGUGAGAACCAUAAAUCUCUCUCUCAUUGGACUCGGGGGGCCCCCCACUCUCUGUUUGGUAUCAGAUGCUGUUCAGCCCAUGGUGGUGAUGUCCAACCCCUGUGUUGUCAUCUUCACAGAGGAGCAAGAAAGUGACCCUAACUCAGUGGCAGUUGCUUGCUACUCAAGGCCCAGAACGUCAAGGGCCCCAUCUUCAGGUGGUCCAUUAGGGUGUUCUGGAGGAGGAAAGAGCUUAUUGAUGGCUUCAGUCUGUUCUUGUCACAGUUGCUUCUCUGUGUGCUGCAUCACAACCUAUGGUCAAACUUUAAUUGUACUCAUGGUCUCAUGGCUAGGAACUGGAGAAGGGCUCUGGAGGCA
rnacentral:lncRNA from 1 species